UGCAGUCGACGGUAACAGGAAUUAGCUUGCUAAUUUGCUGACGAGUGGCGCACGGGUGCGUAACGCGUAUACAAUCUACCUUUUGCUGAGGGAUAGCCCAGAGAAAUUUGGAUUAAUACCUCAUGGUAUUAUUGAUAGGCAUCUAUUAAUAAUUAAAGGUUACGGCAAAAGAUGAGUAUGCGUCCCAUUAGCUAGUUGGUGAAGUAACGGUUCACCAAGGCAACGAUGGGUAGGGGUCCUGAGAGGGAGAUCCCCCACACUGGUACUGAGACACGGACCAGACUCCUACGGGAGGCAGCAGUGAGGAAUAUUGGACAAUGGGCGAGAGCCUGAUCCAGCCAUGCCGCGUGCAGGAAGACUGCCCUAUGGGUUGUAAACUGCUUUUAUACAGGAAGAAUAAGCCUUACGAGUAAGGUGAUGACGGUACUGUAAGAAUAAGGACCGGCUAACUCCGUGCCAGCAGCCGCGGUAAUACGGAGGGUCCGAGCGUUAUCCGGAAUUAUUGGGUUUAAAGGGUCCGUAGGCGGAUGAUUAAGUCAGGGGUGAAAGUUUGCAGCUCAACUGUAAAAUUGCCUUUGAUACUGGUCAUCUUGAGUUGUAUUGAA
rnacentral:rRNA from 1 species